rnacentral:rRNA from 1 species
UACGAAGGGUGCAAGCGUUACUCGGAAUUACUGGGCGUAAAGCGUGCGUAGGUGGUUGUUUAAGUCUGUCGUGAAAGCCCUGGGCUCAACCUGGGAAUUGCGAUGGAUACUGGGCGACUAGAGUGUGGUAGAGGGUGGCGGAAUUCCCGGUGUAGCAGUGAAAUGCGUAGAGAUCGGGAGGAACAUCCGUGGCGAAGGCGGCCACCUGGGCCAACACUGACACUGAGGCACGAAAGCGUGGAGAGCAAACAGG